CGAAUGCUGACAUAAGUAACGAUAAAGCGGGUGAAAAGCCCGCUCGCCGGAAGACCAAGGGUUCCUGUCCAACGUUAAUCGGGGCAGGGUGAGUCGACCCCUAAGGCGAGGCCGAAAGGCGUAGUCGAUGGGAAACAGGUUAAUAUUCCUGUACUUGGUGUUACUGCGAAGGGGGGACGGAGAAGGCUAUGUUGGCCGGGCGACGGUUGUCCCGGUUUAAGCGUGUAGGCUGGUUUUCCAGGCAAAUCCGGAAAAUCAAGGCUGAGGCGUGAUGACGAGGCACUACGGUGCUGAAGCAACAAAUGCCCUGCUUCCAGGAAAAGCCUCUAAGCAUCAGGUAACAUCAAAUCGUACCCCAAACCGACACAGGUGGUCAGGUAGAGAAUACCAAGGCGCUUGAGAGAACUCGGGUGAAGGAACUAGGCAAAAUGGUGC
rnacentral:rRNA from 1 species